AAACUAUGUUGCAGGCAUAAACUGACAAGAUCCUUGAACCGUUCCCAACAUUGGAAGAAUGUUUCAUCUUCCUUUUGGGCAAAGUUCAUAAUUGACUUUUUGAGGGU